GUCGAGCGAUUUACUUCGGUAAAGAGCGGCGGACGGGUGAGUAACGCGUGGGUAACCUGCCCUGUACACACGGAUAACAUACCGAAAGGUAUGCUAAUACGGGAUAAUGUACUUUUGUCGCAUGGCAAAAGUAUCAAAGCUCCGGCGGUACAGGAUGGACCCGCGUCUGAUUAGCUAGUUGGAGAGGUAAUGGCUCACCAAGGCGACGAUCAGUAGCCGACCUGAGAGGGUGAUCGGCCACAUUGGAACUGAGACACGGUCCAAACUCCUACGGGAGGCAGCAGUGGGGAAUAUUGCACAAUGGGCGAAAGCCUGAUGCAGCAACGCCGCGUGAGCGAUGAAGGCCUUCGGGUCGUAAAGCUCUGUCCUCAAGGAAGAUAAUGACGGUACUUGAGGAGGAAGCCCCGGCUAACUACGUGCCAGCAGCCGCGGUAAUACGUAGGGGGCUAGCGUUAUCCGGAAUUACUGGGCGUAAAGGGUGCGUAGGUGGUUUCUUAAGUCAGAGGUGAAAGGCUACGGCUCAACCGUAGUAAGCCUUUGAAACUGAGAAACUUGAGUGCAGGAGAGGAGAGUAGAAUUCCUAGUGUAGCGGUGAAAUGCGUAGAUAUUAGGAGGAAUACCAGUUGCGAAGGCGGCUCUCUGGACUGUAACUGACACUGAGGCACGAAAGCGUGGGGAGCAAACAGGAUUAGAUACCCUGGUAGUCCACGCCGUAAACGAUGAGUACU
rnacentral:rRNA from 1 species